GGCAUCAUUGCUACUCCGUGUGUCGGGCAUCUUGCUGACUCUCUGCCUCUGUUACUGCAAGCGUUUCCCCAAACAAAGGUGGGUGUGUUGCCAUCACUGCUUCUCCCUGUGGCGGGCAUCUUGCUGACACUCUGCCUCUGUUACUGCAAGCGUUUCCCCAAACAAAGGUGGGUGUGUUGCCAUCACUGCUACUCCCUGUAUCGGGCAUCUUGCUGACACUCUGCCUCUGUUACUGCAAGCGUUUCCCCAAACAAAGGUGGGUGUGUUGCCAUCACUGCUACUCCCUGUGUCAGGCAUCUUGCUGACACUCUGUCUCUGUUACUGCAAGCGUUUCCCCAAACAAAGGUGGGUGUGUUGCCAUCACUGCUACUCCUUGUGUCGGGCAUCUUGCUGACACUCUGUCUCUGUUACUGCAAGCGUUUCCCCAAACAAAGGUGGGUGUGUUGCCAUCACUGCUACUCUUUGUGUCGGGCAUCUUGCUGACACUCUGUCUCUGUUACUGCAAGCGUUUCCCCAAACAAAGGUGGGUGUGUUGCCAUCACUGCUACUCCUUGUGUCGGGCAUCUUGCUGACACUCUGUCUCUGUUACUGCAAGCGUUUCCCCAAACAAAGGUGGGUGUGUUGCCAUCACUGCUACUCCCUGUGUCGGGCAUCUUGCUGACACUCUGCCUCUGUUACUGCAAGCGUUUCCCCAAACAAAGGUGGGUGUGUUGCCAUCACUGCUACUCUUUGUGUCGGGCAUCUUGCUGACACUCUGCCUCUGUUACUGCAAGCGUUUCCCCAAACAAAGGUGGGUGUGUUGCCAUCACUGCUACUACCUGUGUCAGGCAUCUUGCUGACACUCUGUCUCUGUUACUGCAAGCGUUUCCCCAAACAAAGGUGGGUGUGUUGCCAUCACUGCUACUACCUGUGUCAGGCAUCUUGCUGACACUCUGUCUCUGUUACUGCAAGCGUUUCCCCAAACAAAGGUGGGUGUGUUGCCAUCACUACUACUCCCUGUGUCAGGCAUCUUGCUGACACUCUGUCUCUGUUACUGCAAGCGUUUCCCCAAACAAAGGUGGGUGUGUUGCCAUCACUGCUUCUCCCUGUGUCGGGCAUCUUGCUGACACUCUGUCUCUGUUACUGCAAGCGUUUCCCCAAACAAAGGUGGGUGUGUUGCCAUCACUGCUUCUCCCUGUGUCGGGCAUCUUGCUGACACUCUGUCUCUGUUACUGCAAGCGUUUCCCCAAACAAAGGUGGGUGUGUUGCCAUCACUGCUUCUCCCUGUGUCGGGCAUCUUGCUGACACUCUGUCUCUGUUACUGCAAGCGUUUCCCCAAACAAAGGUGGGUGUGUUGCCAUCACUGCUACUACCUGUGUCAGGCAUCUUGCUGACACUCUGUCUCUGUUACUGCAAGCGUUUCCCCAAACAAAGGUGGGUGUGUUGCCAUCACUGCUACUCCCUGUGUCGGGCAUCUUGCUGACACUCUGUCUCUGUUACUGCAAGCGUUUCCCCAAACAAAGGUGGGUGUGUUGCCAUCACUGCUACUCCCUGUGUCGGGCAUCUUGCUGACACUCUGUCUCUGUUACUGCAAGCGUUUCCACAAACAAAGGUGGGUGUGUUGCCAUCACUGCUACUCCCUGUGUCGGGCAUCUUGCUGACACUCUGUCUCUGUUACUGCAAGCGUUUCCCCAAACAAAGGUGGGUGUGUUGCCAUCACUGCUACUCCCUGUGUCGGGCAUCUUGCUGACACUCUGUCUCUGUUACUGCAAGCGUUUCCCCAAACAAAGGUGGGUGUGUUGCCAUCACUGCUACUCCCUGUGUCGGGCAUCUUGCUGACACUCUGUCUCUGUUACUGCAAGCGUUUCCCCAAACAAAGGUGGGUGUGUUGCCAUCACUGCUACUCCUUGUGUCGGGCAUCUUGCUGACACUCUGCCUCUGUUACUGCAAGCGUUUCCCCAAACAAAGGUGGGUGUGUUGCCAUCACUGCUACUCCUUGUGUCGGGCAUCUUGCUGACACUCUGCCUCUGUUACUGCAAGCGUUUCCCCAAACAAAGGUGGGUGUGUUGCCAUCACUGCUACUCCCCGUGUCGGGCAUCUUGCUGACGCUCUGUCUCUGUUACUGCAAGCGUUUCCCCAAACAAAGGGAACAGGAGGAGCACCAGGAUCAGAUGCAUCAAGAUGAGGUGGAGUAUCUGCAGUACUUACCUACAGUACAGGGAGAUAUACUUAAUACUAACCGUCAUUCGAAUCAUGCCUAUUAUGACGUUAUCGAUGGCGAGAAGGGUCCCGCCAUUGUGUUCCUGUGACCGCUGAUUGUAUGUAGCCUAUUUUAUGUUGUAUGUGUUCCUGUGACGGCUGGUUAUAUGUAACCUAUUUUGUGUUGUAUGUGUUCCUGUGACGGCUGGUUAUAUGUAACCUAUUUCAUGUUGUAUGUGUUCCUGUGACGGCUGGUUAUAUGUAACCUAUUUAAUGUUGUAUGUGUUCCUGUGACGGCUGGUUAUAUGUAAUCUAUUUAAUGUUGUAUGUGUUCCUGUGACGGCUGGUUAUAUGUAAUCUAUUUUAUGUUGUAUGUGUUCCUGUGACGGCUGGUUAUAUGUAAUCUAUUUAAUGUUGUAUGUGUUCCUGUGACGGCUGGUUAUAUGUAAUCUAUUUAAUGUUGUAUGUGUUCCUGUGACCGCUAGUUAUAUGUAACGUCUUUUAUGUUGUAUGUGUUCCUGUGACGGCUGGUUAUAUGUAAUCUAUUUAAUGUUGUAUGUGUUCCUGUGACGGCUGGUUAUAUGUAAUCUAUUUAAUGUUGUAUGUGUUCCUGUGACCGCUAGUUAUAUGUAACGUCUUUUAUGUUGUAUGUGUUCCUGUGACGGCUGGUUAUAUGUAACCUAUUUUAUGUUGUAUGUGUUCCUGUGACGGCUGGUUAUAUGUAACCUAUUUUAUGUUGUGCGUUCCUGUGACCGCUGGUUAUAUGUAACCUAUUUUGUGUUGUAUGUGUUCCUGUGACGGCUGGUUAUAUGUAACCUAUUUUGUGUUGUAUGUGUUCCUGUGACCGCUAGUUAUAUGUAACCUAUUUUGUGUUGUAUGUGUUCAUGUGACCGCUGGUUAUAUGUAACCUAUUUUAUGUUGUAUGUGUUCCUGUGACGGCUGGUAAUAUCUAACCUAUUUUAUGUUGUAUGCGUUCCUGUGACCGCUGGUUAUAUGUAAUCUAUUUUAUGUUGUAUGUGUUCCUGUGACCGCUGGUUAUAUGUAACCUAUUUUAUGUUGUAUGUGUUCCUGUGACGGCUGGUAAUAUCUAACCUAUUUUAUGUUGUAUGCGUUCCUGUGACCGCUGGUUAUAUGUAACCUAUUUUAUGUUGUAUGUGUUCCUGUGACCGCUGGUUAUAUGUAACCUAUUUUGUGUUGUAUGCGUUCCUGUGACGGCUGGUUAUAUGUAACCUAUUUUAUGUUGUAUGUGUUCCUGUGACCGCUGAUUGUAUGUAACCUAUUUUGUGUUGUAUGAUUUAUCUAAAUACAACUGUUCACUGUCGAUUUAACUGUCAAUUCUAUUUUCCCAAUCGCCGGGUCGCGCUAGGUGUUGAUGUCGUUGUUUUGCCAGGACAUACCCGUCGGUUUCUCCCGAGUCGUGAUACUUUUGUUUUUCCGCCCUUUUUUAGCUGACCCUGUUUCCAAAGUAUACGUCACUAUACUACGGCACUAUACUACGGCACUAUACUACGGCACUAUACUGCAACAGCAACGUUAAAAACACGUGACGUAUAUAUGGUGAGCUUCACAUCGAUGAUGAUGUCAUGAACGUUGAGGCCACUACCCUAUACAGUAUACGUCUUUACUACCAGCUGACAAUACGUGUGUCUAUUAGCAAUGUGUAUAUGGUGAGCUUCACAUCGAUGAUGAUGUCAUGAACGUUGAGGCCACUACCCUAUACAGUAUACGUCUUUACUACCAGCUGACAAUACGUGUGUCUAUUAGCAAUGUGUAUAUGGUGAGCUUCACAUCGAUGAUGAUGUCAUGAACGUUGAGGCCACUACCCUACACAGUAUACGUCUUUACUACCAGCUGAUAAUACAUGUGUCUAUUAGCAAUUGUGAUAUGAAACCAAAGUCGUUGUCAUCAUUUAACGUGUAGAGAAUACUAUUUGUAUUGUGUAAACAAGUGUCACAGUCACGAAAGACGAGAAGUAAACUUGUGUCGCUUUGACUUAAUGGUAUGUACUAAUGUGCCUUAAAUUUGCAAGUAGUGCAAACUAAUUCUUAAUUUUCUUUAAAUGUUGAAAAAGAUCAGGUUUGAUAUAUUUGUACAUUAUAGUAAUAAACA
rnacentral:misc_RNA from 1 species